rnacentral:lncRNA from 1 species
GCUGGUCUCCACCUUGGAACAACGACGGCGUUGCAGCGCCUGGGAGUCCCGGGCCCGCCCGGCAUGGGCAUGCUGCACCCCCCGUCGACUGGGCCUCGCCUUGUUGCUAGCAGUUGUGGCUGUGUGCUGGCACCCUCCAGUAGUGGAGGCAGGGGCCAAACAUAAACAGUUAGCUGGCAGUCGGCAAAAGCGCCCGCCUCCGCGCCCGACGGUCCUUGUCCGGCAUCGGUUGCCCCCUCCGGCCAAAGGUGGCAAGCCCUCCUCGCGUACGGUCCCGCCCGCGCGACGGCCGUCUCCGAGCAAUGGCACCGCACCACCUGUUACACCACAGCCACCAUCACCAGCGCAGCAGCCCCAGUUCCAGCCACCAACACCGGGCGCCAGCUUUCCCAGCCCCCCGCGGCAGCAGCCCGUGCCCCCGCCCCCCGCUGCAGGCCCCGGCCCCAGCCCCAGCCCCAGCCCCAGCCCCGGCGCCAGUCCCAGUCCCAGUCCCAGUCCCAGUCCCAGUCCCAGUCCCAGCCCACGGGCCGCCAGCCCACCGCCUCCCCACCCAAGCCCUAGUCCUAGUGGGGCGCCCGCGCCGACACCUCCGCACGGGGAGGCAACGUAUGGGCCCUACACGUCGCGCACAGGUACGUCGCGAGGAGACGGGGGGAUGGGUGGGAGCACCCGCCCCCUCAGUCGGGGCGCACCGAACACACACAUACAUAUGCUUGCAUUAGCACUUGACGAUAACCAGACAGGGCUUCUUUGGUACUGUCCCUCUGUCCUGAUGGUUGGGUCAUCUAUUGGCGAGGGGCCGGGUGACGGGGUGUGGCGGGAGGGGCCUGCGCGGCGGGCAGCGCCCAAACGGCACACGCCCCUACACACGUGGCAAACAGGGCCGCCAGGCCCAUACCUACGACAUCAAUCCCCGACCCGACUCCCUUUGAUCCGCGCAGAGGGCGACGAGAUCCUGGUACUCACAGUGCAGCUGGACCCCCGGACCAGUAGCGCUAGCAGCGGCGGCGGCGUGCCGCCGGGGCAGGACGGCUCCAACAGCCCGCCCGGCGCCUGGGACCAUCGCGACCUGACCACGGUGGUGGACGACGAACAGCGGCUGUACUUCCGUGUACGGCCGGAGGGCACGGGGCCGCCGCUGCCGGACGGCACUCGGGCGCCUGUGUACCGGCGGCUGUUGUUCAGUGAGCCGGCGGUGAGGCGGGCCGCGGUGGGGCGUGUUUGCGGGGGUGGGAUGGGGUCGAUUUACAUUCAUGAUUGGUUAAGGAUGUGAGUGGGGGGAAAGAGGGGCUGUAAAUACCAAACGAAACCGAACCCAAUGCACAAAGAGCGAGGGGGGGCAGGAGGGAACUGUUGAGGGUGUCACAGGCGUGUGGCUGAUGGGACAGAAAUCGGGUUACAGAGGUGGGGGUGAGCUAGGGUACGUGCCACUAGAGGCGAGGGACGCGGGUGAGGCGGUGGUGGGUGUGCACGGACCUGUGCCGUUGAGGGUCGUGGACUUGACACGGAGAGACUCCCAAUUGGAAGUCUGUACGGCGGCUGUGUACAGCCCAGCAGCCACUACCACCACCACCACCACCACCACCACCACCACCACCACCUGCGACCAUGGCUGAGCCGCCCGCCUGCAUCUAGCCACCUGCAUGUGCACACCUGCGUCUACGCCUGCGCCGCACACAUAUCCCUCACACACACAGGACCCUCAGGAGGUGGCCGCGCUGGAGACCGGGGACCUGGUGUACCACCGGGGUGUGGAGCGCCAGCCAUGGGCAGCGAGGGACCCGGCGCGGCGGCGAUGCUGCAGGCGUGGCAGGAGUGAGGAGUGCAGCGGGGUAUGCAGCGGAGGAUGGGAUGUGAAGUUGUGGGGGGAGGGCGGGGGAGGGGGCCGUGGGCCGAGAGGUUUUGCGCGGGCGUAGCAGGAGGAGCGUAGGUGGCUCCAAAGGCCGAGGGGCUUGCGGGUGUCUUGUUGCUAGGGCGCUGGGAAGACAAGGGACGGCAUCGAGGUGAAGCUGGACGCUGUGUUGGUGGCACGCCUUGUGUAGUUGGUCACAAAUCUAGGCUCCAACGCUUGCACCGGUGCGUGCGUGUGCGUCUGUGUGUUUGCGAGUAGGUGCCACCAUACCGGCUAGUGAGUUGAGACUCGGAAGAGUCCGCUGCAGCCCAUUUUGAUUUACCGUAUGGCAGAUUUGUGCAGGUUGGCAUCUUUUGCAUCGCUGUUGUGUUGUCAACCCAUGACUCCUGAGCCUAAUUACCGUAUGUGCAUUGGUUUAGGUGCCGAGACGUGGCGUGGCGUGUAGGGUCGUCGUGUGAGUUUUGACAGUCACGCGUUGUCUCUUCUUGAGGGGAUGCGUGCAUUGGGGUAGUAUUGCAAUGGGCCCAUGCCGGCCUAACAGUAGGGAGCGGAUUUCAUUGCUUGAUGCCACACAAUGUAAGACUAGUACGUUGGAGACAUCGUUGGGGACGUGCACUUCCCUGCGCGUUCUCCCAAUGUGGGUCCGUUUGCUGUGUGUUGUAGCUACGGCCGCAGACGUGGUGUGCGUAGUAGCCGGCGACCCCCGCCGAUGCAUAAAUUGUUGCACAGCAAGAUAAGUCAUUGCGCUGUAUGCGCUGUGUUGAGGCGUGUGGGCUAGAAAGUAGAAACACGUGUGGGCUAGAAACAUGUGCAUGCUGGUGUGUGCGGUGGGCAGUGGACGCAUGCAGCCAUGCACCCGAUGGGGCAGAACACACGUGUGCAGUAGGUGACACGUGUGGCGGCUGAGGGCGGCAGCUGCAGCUGUAGCUGCAGAUGCAGAACUGCAGGCAGCGGCGGGCGGAGCGGCCUGUCAGCAUACCGGUAGUAGCAGUUUGAUAGUGACGCCGGCGUUCAGGGAGGGCUUGUACAUGGAUUCAUUAUUGCAGCGCCGGCUUGCGACAGGAACCCGCCCGUGAUGUAACACACGUAAACGGACGGUGAUGCGCAAAUUAUGUUUUGCCGUGUUGGUUCGUGUGCAAAAGCGCCCGGCAGACGCAGAGCUCCAGCGUGUGGGGUGACCGGUGACAGGUGAAGCGGAGUGGAGCGCUCACGUCGUAACGCCGUUGCCAUGGCAGUCCGGGGUCAAGACUGACGUAAUCGACUUUGUUGUGCGCCUGUGCACCCUGAAAUGCAGACAGACAACGCAGGUAAGCGACCGCGUGUCAGAGGAAGUCCGACGCGGGGUCGCGGGGAUGGGGUCGCGGGGGUGGGGUCGCGGGGACAUUUUACUGCUUGGCCAGUGUGAGUCCUGCUUGUAAGGCGGGCGCCGGCUGUGGUGGGCCUUGGCUGCAUCAGAGGCCCAUAACGAACUACGAAUGCAUCCCAACAUUGAGGCCAGCGUGAACAGCGCGUGGCGAACUCGCUGACAGAUCGCGCUUUGGAUUCGGCCCGAGGAGUCUGUGAUGGUCCAGGCGUACGUAGUGUGACCAUGCCGUUUGGCUCAUAUUGCUGUUAGCUGCGCACUCCAUAGCUACUCCAUCUUUCUUAGUCAAGGCAGUUACAGGGGCCCUGCGACUUCGCGCCUGUAGCUUCGCGACUUCUCAUUGCCCACAAGGCUGGACCAUUUGAAAUUUACAUUACGCUAACAAGCUAUUGCAUUGAGAGGACAGGCAACUAGAGUAGUCGCGGCGGGCUACGAAUUCGGUCCAUUCCUGGACGGGCGAAAAUGCAGGCCGGCAUAGAGUCCCGGCACACCACAUCUCUAUAAGCGCCAGCAGCCAAGUAGCCAGAACUAGGCGCUGCUGUGGGCGUACAGGCGCCCACCCCCCUCGGGAGAACUUCCUUUUCUCAAGGACAAAUGCGAGAUGGCCCCGCUUCUGCGCAUGGGUUUACAGAAUUUCAGCUGGUCUCCACCUUGGAACAACGACGGCGUUGCAGCGCCUGGGAGUCCCGGGCCCGCCCGGCAUGGGCAUGCUGCACCCCCCGUCGACUGGGCCUCGCCUUGUUGCUAGCAGUUGUGGCUGUGUGCUGGCACCCUCCAGUAGUGGAGGCAGGGGCCAAACAUAAACAGUUAGCUGGCAGUCGGCAAAAGCGCCCGCCUCCGCGCCCGACGGUCCUUGUCCGGCAUCGGUUGCCCCCUCCGGCCAAAGGUGGCAAGCCCUCCUCGCGUACGGUCCCGCCCGCGCGACGGCCGUCUCCGAGCAAUGGCACCGCACCACCUGUUACACCACAGCCACCAUCACCAGCGCAGCAGCCCCAGUUCCAGCCACCAACACCGGGCGCCAGCUUUCCCAGCCCCCCGCGGCAGCAGCCCGUGC